UGAGGGGGGCUGCUCCUAGUACGAGAGGACCGGAGUGGACGCAUCACUGGUGUUCGGGUUGUCAUGCCAAUGGCACUGCCCGGUAGCUAAAUGCGGAAAAGAUAAGUGCUGAAAGCAUCUAAGCACGAAACUUGCCCCGAGAUGAGUCUUCCCUGAGACUUUGAGUCUCCUGAAGGAACGUUAAAGACGAUGACGUUGAUAGGCCGGGUGUGUAAGCGCAGCGAUGCGUUGAGCUAACCGGUACUAAUGAACCGUGAGGCUUAACCUUACAACGCCGAAGGUGUUU
rnacentral:rRNA from 2 species